GCGCAGCAUUUCAGAAGAUUCUGCUUUCUCUGAGCUGAGUGUCCGUCCUUGGCAGAAAGUUCUUCUUUGUGUCUAACCACUCUCUCUCUUGCUUCUGGGCCAGGCUGGAUGCUCCUCCUUGUGGCCAAUUUCUGGAGGAUGCAAACUCCAGGAGGUCAUGGAUUUUAUAUUGCACUACUGCAUCCCAGCAGCUAGAAGAGAGCCUGCCUACAAAAUAAGUACUGAAUGAGGCCUAGCACUCAUCAAGUGUUUGUUGAUCGAAUGCAAGAUCUGCCAGAGCCACCCCAACAGCCUGCAGGCGGGUGCCAUUGAACCCCGCUCAGCCCUUCCCCGGUUCCCAGAGCCGCCCCCACAGCUCCGAGCUGUGAAUCGGGGCCUUCACACAGCCUUUCUCGGACUUGGAAGUCAAGAAGCGAGUCACAGUACUUUGGAAAACACAUUUUCUUUUAAGGAAGAAUUUUUUGUUUUUAUUUCAAACAGCCCUGGCUGGUGACGAGUGGCGAGGAGAGGUGCCCUGUUUUCCAUCCCAACACCUAUUUCCAGGUGGGGGCAGGGAAGGCUCCAUCCCGAAAUGUUAUUUCAAAACCUUUCAGGGCCUUGCAGCUCCAUUUCCAGGCCACAUGCCUCAAAGAAAAGCACAAUUUCCCAUUACGUCGUGUUGCCCUUUCUGAACUGAGCACCUUUCAAAGUGGGAAGACCCAGGUCGCUCCAACACUCCCCGUUCUGUCUCCAUAAAUACAGUCCCAGCGCCUGAUGGGGGCUUAAAUAAAUAGCUUUGCCGGGCACCUGAUGGCCACGGUGCUGAUAGGUGUGCUUGCCAAGAACAGCAGAGGGAGGCUGCCCCUCCCAGCCCCUCAAAGAUAGGAGGCGACACCGCUGUGCCCCAACACUCUCCGCCUGCGUCCUGCCAUCUGAGGCACAUUCAAAAAAGAAGGAAGCCAGCGAAGUCUUGUCACCUGAUGGGUGAAGACAGAGAUGGACGACACGCUCCCUGCCGGGGAAGGCCACGUUCAGACACUCCCAGAUAGCCGGCUGCCACUUUAUUAACAGCAAAUAUCCCCAUCUGAACCAGGCUGGGAAGGAAAAUAUUUAUGCUCGCCUGUCAGUUGGACCUUCAUUUUUCUUCUGGGGGAGCCAGCCAGGGUGCUGGGCCAAGGCUGACGGAGUGUGACCUGUCUGUGAGGCUGCUCCAGCCCAGGGUUGACGGAGACUCAGGACAGCUCUGGAAGGCACGAGGGGCUUCCGGAAGGAUGGACCUGGAGCCCAGGAGAGGUGGGUGGGGUCUGUGCAGCCAGAACAUGUCCCAGGCCCUGUUGAACUGUAAAUGAGAGAAUCUGUGUGUGGGCGUGGACUCCGUGAGAGACUGAGUCCAAAUGCAUCAUUAAAUAAUGUCAUUAUUAAUUAGAACAUGUAGCUGUAUUAAUCUGAGAAGUGACUUUGACUGAGAAUAAAAUAACCUUGUAUUGUCAGAAAAUGCCAACCCUGGAGCUGAGCCUGUCAUUUAAGCCAGGCAUAUAUUAAAAUCAGCUUAUGGCCCUAGCUGGUUUGGCUCAGUGGAUAGAGCAUCAGCCUGCAGACUGAAGGGUCCUGGGUUCGAUUCUGGUCAAGGGCACAUGCCCUGGUUGCGAGCUUGAUCCCCAGUAGGGGGCGUGCAGGAGGCAGCCGAUCAAUGAUCUUCUCUCAUCAUGGAUGUUUCCAUCUCUCUCUCCCUAUCCCCUUCCUCUCUGAAAUCAAUAAAAAUAUAUU